UACUUCGUUAAAAGGGUUGGUGAUUUAUGUAUAACUUUAAAAACGAAGGCCAAAAACUUCAAUUUUAUUGUUCCAUUUGAAAACACAUAUCACAGCCAUUUUGACGAGUUCGA
rnacentral:pre_miRNA from 2 species